AAAGUAUUUAGAAGUCCGCAUUGAACCAACUGAAAGUUUGAGGUUCCAACUGAAUCUCGUGUGUUCAAUUCUGGAAAUUAUGGAUACAGAUCAUUGGAAGAUGAUGAAUUGGGGAAAAUAGCUUGUAUUCACAUUCAGCAAGUCGAGUUCAACUCUUCUUUUGUGCUGCUGUUGUCAUGUCCUGAUAGCCUCCAAAGAGAAAGAAAUCUGUCGGUUGUUGCCCUGUUCAAAUGGUGAUCAGAAAGGGUUUCGGGAUUUCAUCUCCUAUCUGAAACAGAAAGAAUACGCUGGGGUCAUAAAAAUUCCUGCUGUGAAGCCCAUGUGGACACGGCUACUAUUUAUCCUUCCUCCCACAUCUGAUGUGUUUGGCAUGCUAGGCCUUCCGCCCCACCCUGCUGAAUGUCUUAUUGCCCUGGUUCUGCCAAAGGAAACAACCCCUGAAGUGUCUUGACAUAGUUUUCGUGUAUGUAAAUUGCUGACCUUGAUUUUAGGACAUGUAUGUAAACCUUGUUGUGGUUGCCCGCUUUGUGCACAGUAAAUAGAUUUUCCA